AUUGAACGCUGGCGGCAGGCCUAACACAUGCAAGUCGAGCGCGAAAGUUCUUCGGAAUGAGUAAAGCGGCGGACGGGUGAGUAAUACAUGGGAAUCUGCCUGGUAGUGGGGGACAACGUUUCGAAAGGAACGCUAAUACCGCAUACGCCCUACGGAGGAAGGGGGGGAGUCGCAAGACCUCUCGCUAUCAGAUGAGCCCA
rnacentral:rRNA from 1 species